CCUCUCCAGAGGGCCGCUUGGGCAUCCUCACAACAUGGCGGCUGGCUUCCGCAGAGGGACUGACCCAAGAGAGCAAGGCUGAGUCACAGUGUCUUUUAUGACCUAGCCUCCAAAGUCACACACUGCCAUUUCUGCAAUAUCCUAGCAGUCGCACGGGUCAGCCAUACUCUGUGGAAAGGGACGGGCACAAGGCAUAAAUACCAGGAGGUGAGGAUCGGUGAGUGACAUUCUGGAGGCUGCUCCCUCUUCGAAAUCCUCUAACGGAUUGCCACCCCUUAGAACAAAACACAAAUGCCUGCCCGUGGCCUGCAAGGGCUGGCGGGACUGGGGCCCUGCCUGCUUUCCAGGCUCAUCAAGCCCCUGGCCACUUGCACUAACUGCCAGAUGCGCCAACCUGUCCCUCAAGGUCCCACGCUCAUCCUCCACGGUCUCCACUACAUCCGCCUGGAAGCCUCCCUACCAGACUUUGCCUGGUUCCUCCUCACCUUUUAGGUCUCGGCUCCAAUGCCACCUCCUCAGACAGGUUCCCCUGACCACCUUACCAAAAAUAGCCCCCACCCCUGCCUGCCUCUCUCUCUCACAUCACCUCGCGUGGUGUCGCCCUCCACGGUUGCAAAUGUGUAGCUACGACAUGAGCGAUGACCCAUAAUUUACAUUUUGUGGCACCGAUUUGAUGUAUUUCCACAUGCAGUCGGUUCCGAUGUCUCGCUACGUUUCCUACAUUUCCUUCCGGGACGCCCCUUCACAUCACCCCGUGUUGGCUUCUUCCCGGCACAGCGCUGACCCCUCUCUGAAAUGAUCCUGUGCGUCGGAUUAUUGCCCUUCUCCCUUCACGUGCCAGUGAGAGCCCUUGCUUUUAAGCAACAGACUCUUUCCUAGCUAGUUGAAGCUGAAGAGGAAUUUAUUAGCAGAGAGGAAGCACCUCAGAAGUCGCCAGGAGAGCAGAGAACUAGGCUUGGAGGUCAUCUGUGUGGAUCAGUCCUUGUAUGAGCCCCACUGCGCGCGCGUGCACACACACACACACACACACACACACACACCACUGUUGCCCGGGUGAGCACUUGAGGGUGGAGACCACCACGGGGAUGCCUGCAGCUGCCGACUCUGGGAUCCGGAUGGAUCUGCUGUACUCUCUCCAGAGAACAUUCCUCGGCACCUGCCUCUCAGUGUCACUUGGAUGCGGGCGCAUCUGAUGGCUGGCAUCUUGUGUCACCUUCUCUGCUCCAUCUGCAAGCGAGGCUGGGAACCUACGUGGCUUCCACAGAGGGAGAUGUCAGUUCAUAAGGCGGGGAAGCCUCAAACCGAGGAAGAGUGUGCCAUGGUUCAGGGAUGCCAGUGCAUUGAUGACAUAUAUCGUGUCCCAUCUACUCUUUGGGCUACUUCUCAUCACCAACCCCUCUCUCAUCCUCAGACUUCACAAACGACAACACAACCCAACGGCAGGCUGAGAGCCGCUUCUCAAAAAGAAAAUAGUUACUUGUGCAAAAACUGCAUGGCUCUGCUCCAAAACUUUAGGGCUUGUUGCCAGCCUCUGACCAUCUCGUUCAUGUGUUUAUUUAUUGCCUGCCGGGAGCCCCCCUCCGGAUGUAUUUAUUGCGUUCCCACCAUGCGCUACCAGCCAGUAGACAGAACAGCCUCAAAUCCUGCUGUUGUGGGGGUUUUGACGCCACCGAGAUGGUGACCAAGGCAGAUCUCUACACCGGUCACCUAUCCCCAGCUCCCCGAAGCUCCGGAACAAUCAUCACGGACGUACCACCCAACCUGUACACGAUGAACGAGGAGCCCAAACCCUUCCUGGAGGGGCCCGUGCUGCCCGCAGCCUGAGCAGUGCACUCAAAAUGCCGAGCUUCUUUCUCUGCACCCAGGGCCACGUUGCCUGGGACUCUGGACCCACUUGGUCAGGUCCCAUGGUAUGUUAAUCGGCUUGAGCUGCCAUAACAAAAUACCAUAGACUCCGUGCUGUAAACAACAGAAAUU